rnacentral:sRNA from 1 species
AUCCAGGUUUGCACAGAGGACUGACAAGGAAGUCAAAGUACAUCAUCAUGUACCCACACGGAACUGAACCACUAUAAAACAGAGCUCUGAUCAACCAUGACUUGCCAUUUCUCUGUCAAGACCUACAAAAUCAGUUAUCUGAAAUCAUAUGCCUAUGGCAGGCUAGCAAGUGCAGAUCUGUGUCCACCAUACUGUGAUAUUCAUCUGGAUUUUUACACUCAACAAUACUAAAGCAUCAUUGGUGAUAGACGGAGACCUGACAGCACUUAGUGAGUGACAGUACAGAUUGAUGUGUCUCGGUCCAUCAUGACAUUUGACCAUGAAACAUAAGUAAGCUAAUCACGCAAGCUGGCACAUUCAUGCUAACACCCAAAAUGGGUUACAGCAAAAUAAAGUCAUAAAAAAAAUUGUAAGACAAGAUAAUUUUUGUCUUUUUUAAAUCAAUACUGUCAGGACUGACAAAAAGCUUUUUAAAUUAAAUAAAAAAUGUUAAUCUCAAACAUACAUCAAAUACUAUGGGAAAAAAAAGUUUUUUUAACAAAGUAUUUUAAAACGUACUCUUUAAUUUUCUUUAGUUCAAAAUUAUGUUGUACAUGUAUUAGCAAAAAGUAAACUGAAUAGGAUCAAAUGUUAAUUGAAUUUCAAUGCAUCAGAAUGUUGAAGUGAAUAUAUCAUUUCCAAUUACAUCAAAAUUGAAAAUUAUUUGACAAAAUAAAUGGGUUUAAAUGUC